rnacentral:tRNA from 1 species
UGCCCCAUGGUGUAAUGGUAACACACCUGGUUUUGGUCCAGACAUUUCAGGUUCGAGUCCUGGUGGGGCAA